rnacentral:rRNA from 1 species
UCUGGUGGUUUUUGCGAGGGGCCCAGAACCCGAUCCCAUCCCGAACUCGACCGUUAAACCCUUCUGCGCCGAUGGUACUAAGUCUCAAGACUUGGGAGAGUAGGUCGCUGCCAGGU